GCUCGAGUAGUAUAGUGGUUAUUAUGUGUCCUUCACACGGACAAGGUCCGGAGUUCGAACCUCCGCCCGAGCA